rnacentral:misc_RNA from 1 species
GAUGAAGAACGUAGCGAAAUGCGAUAAGUAAUGCGAAUUGCAGAAUUUCCGUGAGUCAUCGAGUCUUUGAACGCACAUUGCGCCCCCUGGUAUUCCGGGGGGCAUGCCUGUCCGAGCGUCAUUGCUGCCCUCAAGCACGGCUUGUGUGUUGGGCCCCCGUCCCCGGUUUCCCCCGGGGACGGGCCCGAAAGGCAGCGGCGGCACCGCGUCCGGUCCUCGAGCGUAUGGGGCUUUGUCACCCGCUCUGUAGGCCCGGCCGGCGCCAGCCGACACCCAACUUUAUUUCUAAGGUUGACCUCGGAUCAGGUAGGGAUACCCGCUGAACUUAAGCAUAUCAAUAAGCGGAGGA